rnacentral:rRNA from 1 species
CCUACGGGGGGCAGCAGUAGGGAAUCUUCCACAAUGGACGAAAGCCUGAUGGAGCAACGCCGCGUGAGUGAUGACUGCUCUCGGCUCGUAAAGCUCUUUUGGUAGUGAAGUAAGAUAGAGGUAGUAACUGGCUUUUAUUUGACGGUAUUUACUUAGAAAGUCACGGCUAACUACGUGCCAGCAGCCGCGGUAAUACGUAGGUGGCAUGCGUUGUCCGGUUUUAUUGGGCGUAAAGCGAGUGUAGGCGGUUCGAUAAGUCUGAUGUGAAAGCCUUCGGCUCAACCGGAGAAUUGCAUCAGAUACUGUUGAACUUGAGUGCAGAAGAGGAGGGUGGAAUUCGUGGUGUAGCGGUGGAAUGCGUAGAUAUAUGGAAGAACACCAGUGGCGAAGGCGGCUCUCUGGACUGCAACUGACGCUGAGGCUCGAAAGCAUGGGUAGCGAACAGGAUUAGAUACCCUUGUAGUC